GGGGAAUUUUGGACAAUGGGGGCAACCCUGAUCCAGCCAUGCCGCGUGAGUGAAGAAGGCCUUCGGGUUGUAAAGCUCUUUCGGACGGAAAGAAAUCGCCGCCUCUAACAUAGGCGGUGGAUGACGGUACCGUAAGAAGAAGCACCGGCUAACUACGUGCCAGCAGCGCGGUAAUACGUAGGGUGCGAGCGUUAAUCGGAAUUACUGGGCGUAAAGCGUGCGCAGGCGGUUUGGUAAGACAGGUGUGAAAUCCCCGGGCUUAACCUGGGAACUGCGCUUGUGACUGCCAGGCUAGAGUACGGCAGAGGGGGGUGGAAUUCCACGUGUAGCAGUGAAAUGCGUAGAGAUGUGGAGGAACACCGAUGGCGAAGGCGACCACCUGGACUGAUACUGACACUGAGGUGCGAAAGCGUGGGGAGCAAACA
rnacentral:rRNA from 1 species